rnacentral:lncRNA from 1 species
GGGGAUGUAAGUCGGACCCACCAUCUACGACUGGACUGAGUCAAGACGUGGACUGGGCUCUGGCAGGCGCCGGAGCUGGCGGGCCGCUUGACGCCGGCCCUCUCACUCUUCUCUUUGACGCGACUUGCCAGAGAUCUUGUCUGCAACCUCGAGCAGCUCCGGUCAACCGCAGGUGCUCUCGUUUCUGACCCUCAUCAAGCUCCUCUCCUAGGAGGAUUUAGUCCCCUCAAUCUUCCCUAAUGAAUGCCGUGAUUCCGUCUGAUCUCUAGAAGGGGGACUCUCUGGACGGCUCUCGUCAGGGGACAUUCCAGAAAAGUGGUAACUUGGUUUUACUAUUUUGUCUAUCUCCUCCGACCACCAUUUUGACAGCUUUUUCAAUUCAUCUACCUUCACUUAUAUCUUUCUGUUUUCUCCUAAACCCAGUUUGGACCUGCCUUGCAGAUCAACCAGCCCCCGACGACCAGAGGAGAGAGAAAAAGAGAGAGAGAGAGAGAGAGAAACCAAGGUGGGGAACUGCCCAACACGGAGAGCAAGAAUAAUAUUAGUCUGACAGUAGCGCCAUGGUAGAUUUAUGUGACCAUAAUUGGCUAGAGAGAGAGAGAGAGAGAGAGAGAGAGAGAGAGAGAGAGAGAGAGGAG